rnacentral:rRNA from 1 species
UACGGGGGGGGCAAGCGUUGUUCGGAAUUACGGGGCGUAAAGGGCUCGUAGGUGGCCAACUCAGUCGGACGUGAAAUCCCUCGGCUUAACCGGGGAACUGCGUCCGAUACUGGAUGGCUUGAGAUCGGGAGAGGGAUGCGGAAUUCCAGGUGUAGCGGUGAAAUGCGUAGAUAUCUGGAGGAACACCGGUGGCGAAGGCGGCGUUCUGGACUGCAACUGACACUGAGGAACGAAAGCCAGGGGAGCAAACGGG